UACGUAGGGUGCAAGCGUUAAUCGGAAUUACUGGGCGUAAAGCGCGCGUAGGUGGUUUGUUAAGUUGAAUGUGAAAUCCCCGGGCUCAACCUGGGAACUGCAGUCGAGACUGUCUAGCUAGAGUAUGGGAGAGGGAAGUGGAAUUUCAGGUGUAGCGGUGAAAUGCGUAGAUAUCUGAAGGAACAUCAGUGGCGAAAGCGACUUCCUGGACCAAUACUGACGCUCAUGUGCGAAAGCGUGGGGAGCAAACAGG
rnacentral:rRNA from 1 species